GUUUUGCAAAAAGCAAAGGAUAUAAUGAUAUCGAUGUUAUUAUAUACACCUUGGGAACAAAUGCAUCGCAAUGUAUGAAAAGACAAGUGAGAAAAAUAUUUACAAUGCUAACUCUAAUUACCUCCUCUAAAAAGCAGAGAUGAUGAAUUUAUUCGUGAAAUAUUUCGAGCGACAAGUUGAUUAUUGAAGUAGUAGUUAAAGAGAAGGAAAGAAGGGAUAAGAAGGAAGGCAAAUGCAUCACUUACGAAUUGCACUUAAAAUCCGCUCGUGCGUUUGCCCUCGAGUGUCGUUCUCGCACUUAUUUUUUCCCUUUUUCGACACUCCUAUGAACUCUCAAAGCCCUCUUGUUUUCAAGACACAUUUAGGGUGGCGCUGGCGCUCUUUAUUUUCGUCUGUGAGGGCCCGCCUUUGCCACUGAUAACUCUCUUGGGUACAACGAAUAAGGUAAACAGCGGAGCGUUCGAGACGACGAAGGAGAGAUAGAGUGCAGAAAGAGAAAAAGAGAGUGAAGCGGUGCUUGAAAACUACAAUAAAGGAGCGCGAAAUAGCCGGAGCUGUUUAGACUCCUCGUCUUUCUACGUUUUGCUCCUCCAACGAAUAGGACUUCUCUUCUACCGCUAGAUAAUUAUAAUUCUUUGAAAAACUACUAGAGAGCUGCUCUUCCCUUCAUUUCUCUCCUUCAACGCGAAACGAGAAUAAGAUUUUCAAGGGAUGUAUAUAGGCCUUGUAUGUAAAAAAUUCCUCGAAUAAAAUAAGAGAAAUCUAUGUUUGAAUUCGAAGUCAAUCUCCCCGUACUUAGACAUUGCUGAAUGGAAUAAUUUGAUUUGGUACUGUUGGUACCAUGAAAAAGAAGAAGGCAAAGCGAGGAGAAAUAGCGAGAAAGCUUUGUUCCGAUGACCUUUAUGCGCUUCAAGGUAAAGAAUAAACAUCGAUUUACAAGCAGUCGCGGAAACAGAAUGUACGUCUGUUUUAAAUAAAAUAAAAGACGAUUUAAAUAGAUGAAGCUUUUUUAUCCCGUAGUACACUUUUAUUAAUUUUUAUGAAUUCCUUUGAUCUUUGAAAGAAUUUCAUUAAAGCUACUAUACGUCCAACAAUUUGUAAAAUAACAAAGAUGAACAUGAAUAUCUUAUACAUAUCAUUCUUAAAAAAUUUGCACAAUAUUACCUGUGGCUUACCGGCGAAAAUGCAUAUUUAAAACUUACGAAAAUGUGACGAUAUAUUCUAAUAUUUCACAAUAUUGAGCUUGAGAUUAUUACUAUUAUUAAUUGUGAAAAUUUUCAAUAAUUCCAAAAGGAUGCGACGAAUCGCUACGAGUAAUAAUACUUUUUAUUUCGAAUAUCUAGGUGCGCAUAAGUUGGUUUGAGUAAUAUAAGCUCGCUUGUAAACUUCGAUCAAACUCGAAGUCGGCGAAAGUGAGGGUCGAGGGGUGGAAACAAAACAAAUCGAGAGUAAAAGCGGUGCUUGUACAGAUACAAACAGCCGGCAAAAAGAAUAUACCUAUGUGUAUGAGAGUACAGAAAUGCGAGGAAAAGUCAUAGAAACAAAGAGGAAAGCUGAAAGAGAGGAGGAGAAGGAGAUUUGGGCGAGACGAUACAGGGAAGAAGUCGACGUAAGCGUAGUAAAAUCUAUCGAAUCAGUUUAACGAGUGUACGAGGGUGAUAAAUCAGUUGGCGUUGUUUUUUCGUCGUACACGGACGAGGGAGUAAGCAGAGGAAAAAGAAGAGGAGGAGAGAACGUAGGAUGAGGAGGAUCAGCAGAGUGCAGUACCGAAGGAGAAGGAGGAGGAGGUGAAAGAGGGGAAUACGCCACACAAUAAAAGCCGUUGCCAGUAGCGAAUGGGAGGGCAGAUGCAUUUUACGAGCUGUAGUGCACCAAUGUCACCUUCACCACCGACGACCUUUCUUCUCAUCCCAUCUACUCUACGCUUUUCCACCCUUUCUCUCUCUCUCUCUCUCUCUCUCUCUCUCUCCUUCCAUCUCGCGUUUAGUGCUCUUACGUGAAUUUGGACGUACGCAGGACAGCAAGGGCGUCCGGCGAACGCGUCCAGCGAAUUGAUUUCAGUUAUUUUCCGAUCAUGUAACUUGUCGAGGCUUUUGCAUGGACAAUUGAUUAUUAUUGCUAUUCCGAUACUCGGUCGGCUGAUCGACUGGAGUAGUGCUCGAUUUUGAGCCGACAGCAUCACUAAUUCUAUCUCCGUCCCCUCAGAGUUUUGAUUAGAAUUCAGCCAUCCAUUGAUAGAUAUUGUUAAAGACUUAGAAUAGUUGCAAUACUAUCUAGGAGAAGAUCUUUGAUGUUACUUCUAAGAAUAUUGAAUUCGACGUCUCUUUAAGGAGAGAAGAAAAAAUAUCAGAGAAUAGGUUAUCAUAGUCUUUUUAAUCUCUUGAAUAAUUCUCAUACUCACGAUCUCGAUCGACCUCGGUUUUUAUAAAUGAUCGACCUAUCGUAUUCUUUUCUCUUCGAAUUUGAUAAUAAAUACGCUAUUGUUGCCGUCGCUAUCGUCGUCGUAGCAAACCUUAUUUCUGUCAUAUAAUGGAAUAAUUAAAGCACAUCGAUAGGACAUAUUCUGUUGAUUGCAGAUUGAUUCUACGAUCGCAGUAAUAAGAGGGCAUAUCUUUGAUUGAUUGUUUUGAAAAGCAUUAACUAAACAUAGAAUAAUCAACAUUCAAUCAUCGAAUAAUCAAGAAAUUCGAAGUUAGAUAUAGUUUUAUAUAAUUUCUAUUUCAUUUUUCCUAACUAGUAGUAGACGUUAAAUUAUAAGAAAAUGAAUUUUUAGAAAAAUUCAAUGUUGAUUCGUGAAAAAGCGGAUAAUAUAAUAGCCAAUAUGCGUCCCAUGAUCCAAUGCAUUCACCAUUCACUUAUUCGUGGCUUCCGAAAAAACCCAGUUUUAUCAAUGCGUUUUUCACGCGCUCUAAAGAAACCCGAAAAUAGUUCAAGCUGCAAUGUGUUCUCUCUACUUUUUAAGUUGCCAUAUUUUUGUUCUCGCACGUUCACGAGUAAACUUUCCUCCUCAAACCGGUUAGCCCUCUUACUAGGAUCUCAUAAUAUACACCUGUGUCUGGACUAGAAGGAGAUAACGCGCGUGUAAAAGAAGACGAUACGCAUGUAAAUGGUGAGCGGUCUACGAUGGAAUCGGAAUCGUCCACGUUUUUCUAAUAUCAAAUGCAGACACUUUACGUUCCGUACGAUCUACCCGACUUCCUGUGCAAACGUACAGCAACGAGUAACCGGCUGCGCGAUUAAUUUUUAUGUUACACCAAUUCCAUCGCAAUUUCACGUAUUUUAUUCGAUUACUGGUAGGAGAAAGCUUCGAUACUAUAGUCGAACAUUUUGUGUCUGUCUGUUUUCAAAAACAUCGUUCUGUCUGUGACAAUCGAGCGCGCGCGAUUUUCAUUGUGAAUUUCAUUGCAAUUGGCACGGCGGCGGCGGCGGCGGCGGCGGCGGCGGCGGCGGCGACGGCCUAGGCUACCAGUGUCUUUGAGCCCGUUAAUUUCGAGAGGCAAUGCGGUGAAAUCGCGACGAAUGCCACACCAAUUGAAUACACAGAGCCGGAGGAGAAGAGAGAUAGAUAGGUAGAUGGAGAGAUAGAUAGAGGGACGGAGAGAGGGAGAGGGAGGGAGGGAGAGAGAGAGAGAGAGAGAGAGAGAGAGAGAGAGAGAGAAAGAAAGAGAGAGGGAGUGUGCUUCGGUUAAAUGCACGAUUUACGCAUCUGGAUGGACACGAGUCCCGUCAUUGGCUUUAUUGCCAGUAAAGGCUAUACCGGUGAACGGCUAUGGAGUAGCAGGCACCUGUGACGCGUCUGGAAACGCAGUUAAAUUGUAUGCCACUGUACGGACGCUGCAAACGCUGCGACGGCGAAGUUAUACUACAAGAAGGAGAGAGUGGAAGAAGCGUAAGAAAGAAAAAAAGAAAGAAGGCAUAGAAAAAACGAAAAGUAAGAGGAAGGAAGGAAACGACGAGAAAGCUGAGGAGAGGCAUCGAUAAAUCAAUGGAAUAUGGUAAUGCAGCAAUUUCAAUAAUUUAAAUAUGUAUGAAGGAAAAUGGAACAAUCUGGAAGGCAGGAAUCUGCCUGAGUGUGGCACAUUGAAUCGCGUCUAAUGAGACGCCUCGCGUCCUACAGAAGGGAAUAGUCCUGUUAUCGUUCCGCGCCGAUCUUCCACCACCCUUCGCCAUCCCUCUUUCCCACAUUUUCUUUCUUCGCGAAUCUUUCCUUUUGCUUAUGUCAGAUAGGGAAAGGUGGUAGUAUAAAUAAAACAAAUUCCGAGCAUCUCUCAACUCUUCUUCCCCCUUACUUCUUCUCUUUUUCCCGUCAAAUCGUACGCCGUACGCGUACACGGAACGUCGUGAAAAGCGCGUAACGUGCCUCGUUAUUCCGCACUCUUGCCGGCGAACGAAACGACGUUCGAGGUUUGACUGCAGCGUUAUAUCGAAGAAAAGAGGGGGAAGAUGUCACCCGGAUAUCUGUCAGGAAUUGGUUUUCCCGCUGGUGGAUAGACUCAAGGAUGGCGAGGCUGAACAGAGAACGUAUUCAAAAGACACGAUUAUGGAUGGCAGAAGGGAGAGAGAAGAGAAGAAGGAGGACCGACAGAGUGGAGUUACGUACGAACUUCAAUCCGAAUCUACCAAAACGUUAUGCUACGAAGGGAAUCCUUCUGCAGACGUAAAAGAGCCCUAGAAUUUUCUGCCUUUUUCCUUUGUCGCUUCUCCUUAUCGUAGCCCUUUUACCAUUUCUCCUUUAAAAGUCCAUACUCUUACAAAGUUGUAAACUUUUGUAUUCAAAGUUUUGUGUUAUUUAACCUUGACUUUGGAUAACAUCCGAUAUAACAUUAUUAAGAAAAGAAUUUUCUGACGAUUCGAUACAGAAAAAAUAUUCAGAAUUUUUUCGUAUAAUCAUAUAAAAUUACAUAAUAAAAAUCACUAAAACAUGAGUCUCACUCAAACCAUUAAUAGGAAGUACAUAUACAUUACUCGUAGUCGAUUACGAGAAAAGAUCGAUUUUGAUUUCUAUGAGGCUACAAUAGCUUCGUCGACCAGGUUGCGGUUCACCAUCCUCACGUAUUCCUCAUCCCUUUUGACUUUUCCAUCUCGUACACACGCGGAUGCGCAUGAAAUGUGUCGCAUGGCAUCCAUAAAAAUGGUGAAAGCGCAAAAUGGAUGGGUAUUGAAUUUUAUGAAAAUUAAAACCGAUUCCGUCGACAGGGCUGCUUCGAUAUCUCUCCCUCCCAUCCUUCCGUCCUCCCUCCCACUCCCUCUCUCUCUUUCUCUCUCUCUCUCCCUCUCUCUCUCUCCUUCUCGUAUGAAAGUACAAACUCGUAUCGUGAACGCUGAAACGUAGAAUCGCAAAUUCGAUCGCCGCAAUGUAGUUAAAAAAUAACAGCAGUUAAUUCAACACAAUGGCGGAAUUCGAUUACAAAGAUAUCGAUUUCCUUCUCCAGUACAUAUAUCGUUUUACUCUCAAAUUACGACAGAAGCGCGAAACAAUGAAAUAGAAACGUUUAGAGCAUCGUUUUCCGAGGUGCUUCGAUGUAGACGAACAGACGCUCGUUUUGCUUGAGCGAAACGUUGUAUCAUAAACGUAAUAUUUUAAUCAACGUCGACGUUGAAUAUUCGCUACAGUAUCGUUUUCCGUCGUUUCGACGACAGCACGUAUCAGCCAGCAGUUGUUGGAAAUCUACUCUCGUGCAGAUUUUCUCAAGGAUCUCUAAUCACAUAAAGUAGAGGAAGAUUAGUCUGGUAAAAGAGACAAAAGAUAAAGAGAACACUAGAGAAAGAAUGAGAGAGAGGGAGAGAGAGAGAGAGAGAGAGAGAGACAGGAUAUGAGUACACUGAAGUGCAUUUAUGUAUAUGUAGAAUAUUUUGUGAAUAUAUAGCUACAUGUGUACUUAUACACGUGUAAGAGACCUUCUAUCAUACAAGCUAACGGUACACUAUUCGCUCCGAGUCCGGUUGCGCACGUGCUUUGUCCCUUCAUGCAAUUAUUUACAGGUCACGUAUUUAAAAGGACGCCUCGAGAGUGUGUCGCCAUUGCGCUCAAGAGAGACAAGCAUAUACGGGAGAUACGUUUCCCUCCGUUGAACGUCCUUCGUGAGUUCUCCCCGCGGCUGCGGCUUUGCCUUUAAUUGCAAACGUGAUUGGUCGCAGCCGUGCGUUUCAUCCCUGCGGUUGAUUUUGUCCGGAAUGAGGAUGUGUCUCUGGAUGUGCCCCCGGGCGACUUCACGUGAGAUUAUUCGAUAAGUCCGAGGAGCAAUACGGAUUAGAAAGCUACCGAAUUACGAGUAGAAUACUUCAAGAAAAAUCGUUAGAGGAAACAGCAGAUAUGCACUGAUAAAUGUAACACACAACGCGUAAAAAAAAAAGCGAAGAAGGGGAGAAUGAAACCAAAAACAAUUAGACACACUAGAAAUCGCAAGAAGAUAACGGGAGGCAAGAGAAGAAAGGAAGGAAACGAAUUCGACGUAAAUGGGAUCUAGUUUAAAUUAGCAUUCCCAGCAAGAUUCUUCUGUGUUCCUCUGCCGAGUUCUCUCACAAGCGAACGCGCGUCAUUCUUUUCGCCUAUCUGAAACUAAUUUGAGGCCGUCCAAGACGAGGAGUGCGGAGUAGCUGGGGGGUUUAAGUAAUUUAAACGUAGCGUGGUGCAAUUAGAAGGAAGCUUCGGUGCUCCAGGGCAUUUGAGGAGGGGGUGAUUUAGGGAUACUAUCUUCUAGCGAAGAAUAAGAGAGAGAGGGUUAACUGUAACGUAUAUAAGACGUACAGAGAGAGAGAGAGAGAGAGAGAGAGAGAGAGAGAGAGAGAGAGAGAGAGAGAGAGACGGAAGAAGGGAGAAAAGGCACGGUGGAAAAGGAAGAUGGUAGGAAACGAGGAGGGAGAAUGAGAUACCAGGCAGGUAACUUCUGCUAAGUUAGCUCACACCUACCCUGCUAAGGGAAGAGUAGCACAGGAAGAGAAGAGGAGCAAAGGGUCUUGAAAUAUACGUGCAAGGAUGCAAAAUUUAUGCGUAGCCACACCUGGUUAGUGCUUACAUGCGAAAUAGUCUCAUAAAUUUCCAUACGCGCAGCCAAACCAGCCUUUAAAUCCUAGCGGUGCCGAAAGCCAGAAUAUUGGUUAACGUCCUCCCUCCUCUGACUACAUAUAUACAUCCUCCAUCCAUUCCCUCUACCUGGCUUUUCCGAUUUUUUAUUCUAGCCUCGAGGUCAAUGCCAAAAAGAAACGAAAAUAUUGAGCCGAUUUCUGACUUUUUCAAGUACGUGCAGUUAUCGAUACGCGUAUUUGUUUUGUCACUUUUUUCUUUUUUUAUUGCAAAGCAUAUACAUCUCGUUAUUUUACAAUAAAAUAUCUACAAUGAAAGAUACGUGUUUUUCUACCUACUUCGUGAAAACCUAAGAAAUAAUUAUUACUUUUAAAAAAUUGUUUUAAAUUUCACAUUAAAAGAUAUAGUACGCUCGAUUUUAAAUAACUUUUUAACUAAUAACCAUCACUCUUUACAAAAGUACAACAUUCUCGUUAUUGCGAAAGCUAUUAUGUUCGAAAGUAACAUCAAAUCGGUAAUUUUCUAUACGUCGCCAGAAACCUAAUCUUCCUUAUCUUGAACUUAUUAUACACGACUACAUAAAGAAAAGCACGAAGAUUGAAAUAUGAGAUGGUUUCCAUGGAAAGGAAGAUAGAGUUUUCCACUAAUCAGUUUUUCUUUAUAUGUAUAUUGGUGUGGAUCCUUCAUCUUUUAAAGCAUGAUUAUAAUAGACUCACAAAAGGGGUGGUUGUCGUGCUGUCGCAUUAAAAAAGUCAAGCGAAAACAGACGAGAGCAACAAAACGUGCAGUGAGAUCUGGUCUCGACAUGGGAAUCUGUCGAUCGCUGUCAAACUACGAGAGGGGUUGCUGUAGAAGAGAGAGAGAGAGAGAGAGAGAGAGAGAGAGAGAGAGAGAGAGAGAGGGUGGUGUGAUUGUGCGGUCAGCACCAGCAAUCAAUGCCUCUGCAUACGGCACGCACGGAAUCCGAUAACAUUGCUUUCCCCUCACCCUACUUUUCUUUCAAUCCCUCUCAGCACCUAACCGUCUCGACUCCUCUUAUCCACAGAAGACAUGUCGUUCGAAUUUCGUCCACGAAUAAUAGGAAGAAAGAGAGGCUCUAACCCAAUUAGCUGGUGGCGCUAGUCUGAUAAGCACCUCAACAUAAAACAAUCAAGUCUCUUUAGGCUGUAACAAAAUUAAAGCCACUAUACGACUGCUUUAGACUGAAACAGCUGCGUCUUAUUAUGACGAUUCGAUACAACUCUUUGAUGCAACUCGCUUUUUAUAAAAUCCACGAAUCAAAAGUACUAUCUAAUUAAUAAAAUCUACUAUGUAAUUAUCUAUCCUAUAUUCUCUCAGAUAAAAUAGGUAGGAGUACAUAAUUAUCAUUAGAUUUGUUUCGCUAAGUAUCAACUAGCUACUUCUAACAUCUAUUUCUUUAUGCUUCUAAAGUUUAUUUUCGGUACCAUGAGUUCAUACGAUGCUCAUCCAUGCGGACAUUAUAUCCGAAUUAAUAAGAUGGAAUCGUUGCUAUUAGUGAAGAUGCAGCGAAUCUUGUAAUUAACGCUGUAAUUUCUGUGACUUGUGAAGUUCACUCAAACACUCCUUCACAUCAGUUCGUCUCGUUAUUCCAACGAAUAUGGUAACGACUAAUUACUCUUUCGUACUUCUUCCCCCUCCAUUACUCUCGCCUCUUGCUAGCAUACUUCCCUAACAUACACACUAGCGGUACAUUAUCUCUUCGCACAUUUCUCUGCUAUUUUCUCUCCCUUUCAUUUCUCCCUUCUCUCCCCCCUCUCUCUCGCCUCUCCCCCGCCUCUCUCUCUCUCUCUCUACCACUUCUUUCUAUUAUCCUUGCGAAAGCAUGGCAGUCAAUGAGUAACUCAUUAAACUUUCGUACUUUACUCAAGAACAAAUCGACUGUCCUUACUUACGUACUUUUCAUAAGUGAUACAAACAAAGUAAAGGCUGUAAGAAAAUAUUUUACAGACUUUCCUCAGGUUUAAUAUCUAAUUAAUCCAAAAGCAUCUUUUCCAAGAUGUCUCUAUGUUUACUCUAGAAACAAGAACGCUCGUAUGUACGAAAGAAGUUGCUCAGUUCUCAUAUCCUUGUCACACGGGCUUCACAAAACUUUUUCCUUCUUCCUUCCUACCAUUUUUUAGGUCCACUAGAGAAAAUUUCGUUAUUGUCACUAGUAGUUGGCUGGAUAGAACGAAAUCGGAAAGAGAGAACGACAGAGAGGCAAUGCUGGCAGUAUCAACGUCCACUACUAGCAAGUACCACCAUCGAAGCUAGCACUGCCAUUGAGAGGAAGUAGAGGAAGAGGUGGAGGAACAGCAGUAGGGUUGUUCCAAGCGUAGAGGGAUUCACUUUAUUGGAGAGUGUUGCCAUCGACAGCCUCGCCCUGUUGGCUGUAGGGGCUCAGAACUAAGCCGUGCGAACAAUGGCAGACCCCCAUGGCGGAUGGCGAGAGAAAGUAAAAAUUAACGAGAAUUCAAGCUCGGCCGGAGCCAUUGAAAAAUUGCCCGGCGUGGUCGCGCGGACCUAGCUGAGCUAUGAAGGAGGUGGCGUCGCUACGAGCCAGUAGCCCUUUUAGACUUGUCGACGGGCACAUUUUUUUACCUGCCUUCUCUUUACUUGCCUCAUAUUCGCGUUUUUAACUUGGUUUAUUUUCAGCAUAAAUGAUGAAACGGCGACAACUUCAUUGCAAUACUGUCAACCCUAUAGAAAAAAAAAAACAAAAAACAAAAUCUCAAGAAAUGAAAAUACGAAUCGUCUUCUUGCGUAAAUUGAUUAAUGAAGCUAUCGCCUAGUGAGAACAGAGUUCACAACAUCGUUCAUCAUCGAUGUACAUACACGUAAAGCAGAAUUCUUCGUCUGCAUCAGAAAAGCGAACCAAUAAAACAUAACUGGAGAUUAUUGGACGAAGAGAAAAUGAUCGAUGAAUUCUAGGAUGUUGGAAAACUCCUUAUUAUUUUCCGGGGUAUCAAGAUCACCGCACGAAAAUGAACAUUAAUUGUGUCAGCAUGGGAUAACGUUUACGCGUAACAUCCCCAUCAAAUUUUUAAGAAAAUAGAUGUUUGAAAUAAUCAAUAAUAACAAAUCUUCUUUUUCUUUAAUUUCAAUGUGAAAUCGAUCGUGAUAGGACUAGAAAGAAGGACAGUUCUUUUUUUUUUCAAAAAAGAAGGAAAUAAGUUCUUGAAAAAGUAAGGUAGAGAAACUUGUUUGGUUGUAUGUUGGUUCGUAACUCGAAAGGUAAGCCUGUCCGUAGGACUACUAGCACGUCCUCCCUUGGGAAUCCCGCGUAUCUGCUUCACGGCACGAGCAAACACGUCGAGAUGAAGGAAGUCUGGCUUCCAUUUCGCAAGACGCGCCGCAGCGAAGCGGAGUAAAUAUUGAUACAGAUCGAACAUCUAAUCGUUCCGGUCUCCCGUUUACCGACAUGCCAUCCAUACAUAUUCGCGAGGGGUGGUAUCGGGCUACCACGAACUAUGUUCGUUUUGCAUGUAUACGUUUCCUCAACGGGUACAUCUUUAUCAGUAAGAGAGAGAGAGAGAGAGGGAGAGAGAAGAAUGGAUAUACGAAACUUGGAUUCGAAAGAAAUCAGCCUGAAAUUUAUGACGCAAUAAUUUGUUCGUCGCAUAGUCUGCUCGACCCCUAAAGAUUUGGCAAUUAUGUCAAAUUAAUUAAAGUCGAUGAAGAAGAAGAAAGAGUAUAAAGAGAUUUUCAUUUUGUGGCUCAUUGUAUUAUUUUUCCUCAUUCACGAUCGAAUCAUGAAAAAUAAAACAUCUAAUUCUAACGACGAUCAUCAACCGAAUGUAUGGAGCAAUCGUGCUGUUUUUUAUCAGAUGGUAUGCUUAAACCAUGCAAGAUUCUUUCCCUCAAAUCUGUAGCUUUGAUUUUACGAAUGAUGUGCGUACGAAAUAUAUCAAAAUGAAAACUAUUUUAUUCAUAGAACAAUUAAAUAGAGUCAAAGGCAAAAGAAGAAUAUGUCACGGACGCACGAAUGAAAACAUACACUUUAACGCGCGUAACGUUUUUAAUAAGGGAUGUUUUUUAUCGGUGUACACACGUUAGACACAAAGAAACGAGAAGAAACUAGGAGAAAAGAGAGACGGGAAAGCUUUGUGACCCAAUCGACGAGGCGGUACGCUAGCUCGCAAUCUCUGGACAUAGCCAAUGCCCUCUUGCCAAUUAGUGUCGUUAUUAAAUUUUUUACCAUCGAUUCCAUUAAAUCCGUAGCCACGCACCCGAGCGUGCUUAAUCUUCUUGUCCAUCGUCUCCAUAUACCCCGGAUAUACUAUAUAAGUACGUUUUAUCGUGUAUCUGAAAGUUCUUGCUGUGCGAUAAGUUAGAGACAGAAGGGGCGGGAAAAGAAAAGAAAAUCCGCGAAAAAUAAAAAGUAAUUUCUCGGCAAACGUGUAAUUAUAAAGAAAGGACUUUUAUGAAUUACGAGGUAACAUUGUAUUGUAAAAUCGAAAUGCCACUCAUCCUAGAUUGGUAUACAUAUGUAUACCAAUACCGACCUUUUAUUUACGACGUACAAAUUAUGACAUAAGAAUAUUUCUUGGAAAGAACAAUGUAUACAAACAUCUAUUGUAGGUCGUUAUGUCGCAACGUGAUGGCUUUGUUUUCGUCUUACUUUGCUACGCUUGUUUCUUUGACGAAUGAAUCAGUCGUGGUCGGGUCGUUGAAGGAAGAAGGUCGUGUGAGAUAGAACUCUAUAAAUCUUCGUUUAUUUCGUUAUUUCCUUUCGGUCUUCUUAAGGCAGUUCCUUAAAAGAACAUUUUCGUCUAUAAAGCACAAGCUAUAAUUAUAUAAUGUCUUAAUUAACAUAAAUGUUAACGAGGUCUGAAGUAAAUAGGUUAGAAAUCUAAUAAUAUUGUGAUGACCUAUAUCUUAGACAACUUUUUAGUGUGUAUCUUUUUAUCAAUAUACAUUUAAAUAUCGACAUAUUUACUCUGUACUAUAUUACUAUACCCUGUACUAAAAUUUCAUAUCAAAGUGCAAAAAGUUAUCAUCGUGAUUCCCAUUCGUUGGACAUAAAUGGAUUUUCCACAUACGUUUUAACGAAAUAGAAAAUUGUUAGGUUUUUUUAAAAAAUCUAUUUUCUCUUUAACCACAUGGUAUAGCUAGCGAAGGCAUAACUUCGACCAUUCCUUCCGUUCAUCCCACUCUUCCACUCACGGGUCCACCCCUUAAAUAUUCUCUGCAGGAUCCGUUACAUGGCAUUCUUCCUUUUCCAUCCUUGGUUCCUUUUUUGCGCGCAAAUCUCGUAAUGUACGCAUGAUCGGGCAACUCUGUCAGCGAGAUACCGCGUGUGGCGGCAGGCCGAUGGCCAUGCAUCUCUCUUUCUCUUCCUUUCUCUUUCUCUUUCUCCCCCCUCCCUUCCUGGUACGUGCGCGCAUUGCCAGAAAUGCUUCACUUCAGGGACUCGAGGGAAAUCAUGUAUGAAGUUCCUCUGUUCCCACCUCCUUCUCUCUCGUUCCGUUUCGACCCUCUCUUCGGUAGGUUCUCUUGCCGGAAAUUCCGUUCGACGACGUACAAUUCGACGGACCGAUGAAAAGGCACAGCCGAGAGAGAGAGAGAGAGAGAGAGAGAGAGAGAGAGAGAGAGAGAGGGAGAGAGAGAGGGAGGGAGAGAAGCGAACGAAAGAGUAGAGAAGAGAGGGAGGAAACGAAAGAGGUGGAGGAGGUACAGAACGUACAAACAAUCGAGUGAAAACGAAUCGCAGAAGGUAGGCGAGACGGAUUCGUUUUCUCUUUUACCUCUUUGUCUGUUCUCCACGGUCUUUUGCAGCUGGUUUUAUCGACCAUUAACUAAUUGCGUAUUCGAGAACAUUCUCGAGCAAAGUGUAUCCUACUGCGAGAAAAAUUCAAAAACACCGUAUGCGACAUCAAAUAAAAAACGGACGAAUAUCAGGAAAUUAUCUACGACAGAAAAAAUAUCAGCAAAUGGAGGGAAGAUGAAGGAAGGGGAAAAAAAGUGAGAGACAAGAAGAAGAACCGCAGUGAUAAUUAUCACUCACAUUUUUACAACACGUCGCUUACGUCCACUGACUUUUUUUCUUGCAUUACUUGCUACUGAGAGUACCCAUCCAUUAGCAAAGCUGUUAAUGGACAAGCUUUCCGGUUCGGAUUACCGGAGCGAAAUUCGUUUUUUUUCCGCUUACGUCUAUUUAUUUCUGUUAUUCUUUAUAUGUAAAUGGUAGGAGAAAAUUCGAGAAAAGAAGUUUUCUACGUCGUGAUAACACCGAGUAAGUAUUGUAAGAUAUUAUAAAUACUUUGUCACAGUUCGUGUGUCUUUUUCCAAACAGAAAUAAAUCUUUAUCGUUAAUAUAUACCGUAAGUAGGACUUACGGAAAGGAAGAAAGAAUAAAGGACAGAAGAAUAAAGGA